CCUACGGGAGGCAGCAGUGAGGAAUAUUGGUCAAUGGGCUUACGCCUGAACCAGCCAAGUCGCGUGAGGGAAGACUGCCCUAUGGGUUGUAAACCUCUUUUGUCAGGGAGCAACGCCGGCUACCUGUAGCCGGACUGAGAGUACCUGAAGAAAAAGCAUCGGCUAACUCCGUGCCAGCGGCCGCGGUACGCCGGAGGAUGCGAGCGUUAUCCGGAUUUAUUGGGUUUCAAGGUCGCGUGGGCGGAACGACAAGUCAGCGGUAAAAUCGCGUGGAUCAACUUCGCUCAGCCGUUGAAACUGGCGUUCUUGAGUGGGCGAGAAGUAUGCGGAAUGCGUGGUGUAGCGGUGAAAUGCAUAGAGAUCACGCAGAACUCCGAUUGCGAAGGCAGCAUACCGGCGCCCAACUGACGCUGAAGCACGAAAGCGUGGGUAUCGAACAGGAUUAGAUACCCUGGUAGUC
rnacentral:rRNA from 1 species